AUGGGAACGGACAGAGAUGGAUGAAGCCGCGAAACCUGACCAAGACACCGCUGUUGGAAUGGGGGCGAAUGUACUCUAAUAUUCCUUACAAAAGUAUUGAGGUGUAGAGAACGUGCAUGCCGUGCAAUAGCAUGUGCAUAUCACCACUACCGUUUUGCAUGUAUACUUUAAACUCACACAGUAUUUUUUUUGUUUUGUUUUCUUAACUGCUUUCGACAGGAAACUCGCCGCAGUGUAGAUUUUGUUUUUUGGUCUUUUCGAUGUUAACCUCCUGCACUUGUUUUGGAUGGUGUUCUGACUUUCAUUUUGUAUCAGCAUUGUUAUUGGUAAAGUAUAAACAUAUGGUGAGAUUUGUUUUCAGUACUACAUAGUGCGCAAGAAUAGAGGUAAACUUUAUUUCAUUUGGUUUUAAGACUACUCUGAGAAGUAGAGAGCACCACUGUAUAAUCUUUUCAGUUCAUUCAAUUUUGUAUCAUAAAUCUAAAAAGCCUUGUAUAAAAUCUAUCAGCUAAAAACCCAAAAUUCUAUUUGUUGGUUUGUUGUGUUUAUUUUAUUCCCUGCCAACAAAUCUUGGUGUCAGGAGUGGGGUUUUCCGAUAGUGAGGUUAGAGUAGUGUAGAGUUUUGCGGCAAUAAACGGUAGUGGUGAUUCAAAGCAGCUGUGACGGGUUGGAUGGACCGAUCCUGGAGCGGUGCAGAGGAAGUGCCAAUGGAGUGUCAUGGACUUCAGACGGAUUGAGAGGGAUUUCAGUGUCAGUACUGCAACUCCGGGGAUUUCAUCAGGCCAGCUCAUCACUGUGGACUGUUCCAGAUCUUUAUCCUUUAAAGGACAUUGCAGGGACUGUGUAUAAUGGACUCAGAGGAGGAGUUAGCACAGAACGCAUCUAGUGAAAUUGAUGUUUUAGAACAACUUUCUGAACUGAAUAGGAAACAUCAGCAAGCAAUGGCAUCUACUGCCGCAUUGAGUCAACCACAACCACAGCGGUCUUAUGUUUAUGCACCUAGAGAAGGCCACAUAACCCCAUUUAGUGGUGAAUAUAAGAAAGAUGGUCAUUCUGUCAAUGAUUUCAUUGAAAAGGUUGAAUGUGUAUUGCGGGCUCGAAAUCAGUCUGUAAGUGAUCAAUAUGACUUUGUCAAUUCUGAGAGGUGCAGCUUUAGAAGAAGUGAGAUUUCAUAGUGACAGCCAAUCCAGUAACGUUAAUGAUUUAUUUCGCUACCUCAGAGAAGCAUUUAGGGACAAAAGAUGUACUGCUCAGCUGUUGCAUGACUUUUACAAUCGCAAGUAAAAAGAUUGUGAGGA